UACACGGUGCAACAGCUCACAAAGAGAAGUCAUGGAUUCCCUCUGAUUGGAGGUUGUCUUUAAAAACAGUUCUGCCACAUGGAGAAAAGAGAGGAACAAUUCCAAUAUUGACAAUGGUCUAGAAGUACCUGUGGAUUCUGGCUAAACUUCAUGAGACUGUGUACCUUUUGUGCCUACUGUGGGCUCAAGCUCAGCCACCUUCUCAGAGCCAUUCAGAAAAUGAAGAGGAAAAAAAUCUAAGGGCUCC